UACAGAGGGUGCAAGCGUUGUUCGGAAUUAUUGGGCGUAAAGGGUGCGUAGGCGGUGCGGUAAGUCUGUAGUGAAAUCUCUGGGCUCAACUCAGAGUCUGCUAUAGAAACUGCCGUGCUUGAGUGUGGGAGAGGUGAGUGGAAUUCCCGGUGUAGCGGUGAAAUGCGUAGAUAUCGGGAAGAACACCCCGUGGCGAAGGCGGCUCUCUGGGACGGUACUGACGCUGAGACGCGAAAAGCGUGGGGGAGCGAACAGG
rnacentral:rRNA from 1 species